rnacentral:tRNA from 1 species
GUAGAUAUAGUUUAACAAAAAAACGUUAGAUUGUGAUUCUAAAAAUAAAGGUUAAAAUCCUUUUAUCAACC